rnacentral:lncRNA from 1 species
AGAGACAUUGAAACGACGCCCACCCAGCCCCGAUUCUGCUCGCCCAAACUCGUCCAAACUCGUUUGAGUUUCAGACGAGUUUCAUCCCUAAACGCAUUGCACAUGGCCCUUUCUUUCAUCUCUCCAACGUGGCAUAACUGUUCUCUGACAGAAUAUUUUCAGCAUUACGCCAUUCUCACGCGCUUUUGAUUUCUUGGGACAAAUCUCGGGUAAAUGGGAGCGGUUGGAUGUGAGAAAUCACAUCCACUCUUUCCAUUUGUCCGGAUUUCGUUCUAUGUGAGAUUGGGGUUGUUUUUUUUGGAUUUGGGAUUAAAUUUGGGGGAUUUAUUGGGAAGGAAGAGAGAAAGUUCGAGACUCCCCUAUAUAUGGGGACUUCUCUUCAGAGGUAACGGGGGUUUUUGGAGAGGAGAGAUCUAAGAUUUUUCGGGAUUUUAACAAUUGAGAGCUCUUCUGUAAGGAGAAUUCUUGAGAGAAAUUGAAGAAUUUUUUUUCUGGUUGUUUCUUUCUUUCUUUAUAAAAUCAAAAACGGAAAAAAGGAGAGUUUCUUGUUACUUGUUUUCAACUAUGAAUCUGGGUUUAAAAUGGAAGUGAUCUGAUUUAUUGUUUCGAACUCGCCGGAGCUGAGGUUGUUCUGUUCGUGGUUCCCUUUUCAUUUUUCGCGUUUUUCUGUUCAGACUGUUCGUUGUUUCCCCUCGCUUGAAGUCAAAAUCUUUUAGUUGAUUGAUAUUUCUGAUUUCAGGUUCAUUUCUUCUCCAUUUUUCUAUUACUCGUGAUUUUGUGAGAGGCCCUGUUUGACACUUUCGUGUGCUUGAAUGCCAUUUCAAUUGUCAUAAGUUGCUAAUUCAGUUUUGUUUUAUGUCGUGGAAUUUUGAAUUUUGCUAAGAAUGAACUUAAGAGUUUGACAUGGAUCGAGUCAAAGAAUGCUUAAGUUGCUCCGUCUGAUGGUUCUGAUUUAUGUUUUUGCCCUGUUGUUAUUAUAUUUAGUCUUUAACUUGUUCAGAUGUUGCCUGUUGGAUUUGGUUUUAUUAAUGGUUCAGUCGGAUAGUGAAUAGAGAGAGUAAUUGAGUUUGUUUUUCGGAAGAAAAAAAAUGGAGCAAAUUAGUUGAGUUCAUUCGGAUAAUGUAUAAGAUUGGUUUAAACUUGUUGCGUAAAAGACAGAUUUUGGUAAAGGCGGUAUGCUAAAUAGUUCAUAAAUUUGGAAGUAAUGACAUUAAUUCUUGUUAAGGUGUAGUGUAUUUUUAAGUAGUGAGUCAUGUCAAAAAGUAAAAGGUAAAAGAAAGCAAAAGAAAGAGGUUGUAACGUUGGUUAAGAUUAGUGAAUAAAGUGCUUGCUUUAUUUAAUUUUGCAAUCCAGAAAUUACAUUUAUUGCUUUUAAAUGAGAAAAUUUUGGACUUUUCUUAAGUUUGACUGCCUCUUUUUGUUUUCUAUUUUAUUCCUUUCUUUAUUUCCUAUUUUUACUUGAAAAUAAAUAAAUUGAUAUAUACUUCUAUUUUGGAAUAAUUAAACGUAUAAACCAUGUUUAGCAAUUCCCUUUCCCUUGUUGUUAGCUGGAUAUCUCGAAUUGGAAGGAGUAUUUUUUUUUUGAUAAAAUUAACGUAGGUCACUAUUUGUCUCGUUUGAUUUUGGACUGUUCAUCAGAUCAUUGUAGGUUGGGUUGCAACAUUAGCUUUAAUUUUAAGUAUUUUUUGUGUGUAAAUAACUUCAUGAUAGCUGAAGCCAUACAUUUCUUCCGAUAAUAUCUUAUUCAUAAUCAAUAACCUCAAUUAUCUCAAAGUAGCUUUUUUAGGAAAUAAUUCAAUCGUAGCUUGCUUUAAGCACGUAAUAAAAAUCAUCACAAUUACAGGUAUUGUUCUCGUGGUAUAGUUGUGAUACUUAAUUUCAAAUUAGUUUUAAAAAUAAAUAUCCAUAGUUCACUUAGUUGAAUGCUUUUCUUUUAAUAAAAUUGAGGUGUGCUAUCCAAUCACCUAGUCUAUGGCCCUCACAUCGAUAUUUUAACUAGUGUAGAAAAUGCCUCGAACUUUCAUAGUUUGCUUUAGGCACGUUAAUUAAAUAAUUGUCAUAACUACGGGUAUGGUUCCCGUGACGUAGUUGUGAUGCUUAAUUUCUAAAAUCUGAGGGGUACAUUUAUGUGACCCGGCCACAAUUUAAUCUUGUUAAUAAAACAAAUACGUUGUAGAUCGUGGGUACGGUUCCCGUGAUACAAUUCACAAUGUGUAACCAAGUAACUAGUUGUAUGGCAAUUGGAUUAUUAAAAGCGGUUAAAAGGGAUAAAAUGCACAUAGGUUUCAAAAAAUAUUUUAAAAUCAGAUAAAUAGGCCAAUAAUAAUAGUUGAGCGACCGUGCUAGACCACGGAACCCGGGAAUGCCUAACACCUUCUCCCGAGUUAAUAAAAUUUCUUACCCGGAUUUCUGUGUUCGCAGACCAUAAAUAAGAGUCAACUUCCUCGAUUCGGGAUUUUAAACCGGUGACUUGGGACACCAUAAAUUAUCCCAAGUGGCGACUCUAAUUUUUAAAUAAAAUAAUCCUGGUUCGAUUGUGACUUAAAUUGGAAAAAACUCCCUUAUACCCUUUUCGGGUGUGAAAAAGGAGGUGUGACACUCCGAUCCGCCGUUACGUGUUAUCGCAAUUGACGUGUGUUAGAGGGAUUGUCAAGAGAAUUGACUCAGGUAUGUUAAGGCCAUCUCUUCUUUCUUUUGGCAUGAUCCAUACGAUACAAUGAAAAAUGCACAAUUCCCAUAAAUGACUCUAUUCAUAAAAAUAUUAGAGAUGCUUAUGUUCUUGAUUCCCCAUGUGUCAUAUUAUUCUAUCUUCUGUUCAUGGGUCUCAGAAAAAUACGUAAGUUGAAAAAGUUUACUUCAUGAUAUUAUUUAAGGGCAUAAUGGUCUUACGACAUUCCAAGUGAUUUUAUUGACAUACUUUUCAUACAUUGCAUCCAUAUACAAUGAUCCAUGACCAGAUGGCGUUAUAUACGCGUAUGUAUAUGGGAUAUGGGAAAAUGUUACAGCGUUAUAUACGCACCACCACCUGAUCAACUGGUAUAUGUUGAUGAUUUGCCCACAGUGGCCGAGAUGAUAUGAUAGGAUGCCCUCAGAGGCUUGAUGAUGUUAUUAACACAUACACCCAUGCAUGAUAUGACAUUUAUACUCAUAUGCACGACAUUAUAAAUAAAUGAAAUGAUUUACAGAGUUAUGCAAACGUACAUGUCUAGUCUUUUACUCCAUGUUUCUCUCAUGUCUAUUAUUUACUGAUUUUCAUUCCUUACAUACUCGGUACAUUAUUUGUACUGACGUCCCUUUUUCCCGGGGAUGUUGCGUUUUAUGCCCGCAUGUCCCGAUAGACAGGUCGAGAGCCCUCCAAGUAGGCUAUCAGCUCAGCGGAAGAUGUUGGUGCGCUCCAUUACUUCAGAGUUGCUUGUUUGGUUAGUAUGAUUUAGAUGUGUAUUCUUAGAGGCUUGUAGAUAAAUGUCAUGUACGUAAAAGAUUGUAUGGCCUUGUCGGCCUAUGUUCAGUGUAUGAGUGGUUAUUUUGGCCUUAUAGACCCGUAUGUCUUAUGUAUAAGUGGGUUUCACAUGUUGUAUUUUACUUAUCUCAUUGCAACCUUCUAGUUUAGUUAUCCAUGAUAGUAUGACGUGAAAAGAUACGUUAUGUAGGUACUCGGUUGAGUAAAGUACCGGGUGCCCGUCGCGGCCCAUCGGUUUGGGUCGUGACAGAAGUGGUAUCAGAGCAGUUUUGUCCUAGGGAGUCUACAAGCCGUGUCUAAUAGAGUCUUGUUUAUGGGUGUGUCGUGCACCACACUUAUAAGCAGGAGGCUACAAGAUAUUUAAGAUUGUCACUCUUUCUUCAUACUCUAGAUCGUGUGGUAGAGCUCGGUUGUAAGAACUCAAUUUCCUAAACUCUAUCUAAUUCGUAAUACAACAAUAGAUGCAUCCAAAAAGACGGUUGGUAACAGAGGCACGUACAAAUGGCCACACCCAUCUCAUUUAUGUCUUAUGUAAGUUAACAGAAGUAGUAUAAGAGAAGGACGGGAUAUCAGAAUCCGGCUGAGUUUAGAGUAACCCAAAGUGGUUAAUGAAUUGUUUGCGUCAAUUGACAUUUCUGAAGGAUAGUGCAAAUAUGCUAAUAGAUCUCCUUGUGAGACACCGAGAUAGUGCACUCUAGAAUAUUACAAUUAGAUGUGAAUACUAUCAUGAUCAAAAAAGAAGAAGAUAGGCACUGAAAGCCUGGAAGAGAUAAAUAUUACCUUAGUGUGACUCUCGUUCCUAGUAGAGCAAGGAUGUUGAGCCACCCGAAGAGCCGAUAAAUGAAGCAAGGGGAGCUAAAAGCAAAAGAAUGUCUUGUUGAAAUUUUCACAAGAAAGGGAUAGGCAGAAAUUUCAGCAGAGAAAUGAGAAGAGAGAUAAAGAAGAAUUAUGAGUAAGAUGUGAUACAUGGAUGACAACGGUAGAUCAAAAAGAUCACGGUAUUAUCGGGUCCAUAGUCAGGUGAAAAAAAACACUAAAGGUGACAUGCCUUGAGACAACAAAAGAAUAUAAGCCAUAAAGUCAUAUCCUUUUUCGAGAAAUAAGUUCAUGACUCUAACGUAAUUGCCAAUAGGAAGAAUCUAGACCCCAAAAUAAUAGAAAUCAAUACGGGCUAGUGAGCAAAAUAAACUAAACACCAAUUAAGGAUUUAGUGAUUUGAUAAUAGCCAGCAUCAUGAGAAUUUAAGAUUUUGUUCCGGCGAUAGUAGAAUGGACAACAGAAGAAGAUUCAGGAGAAAUUUAGAGAAUGGUCAUUCAGGAAGACGCUUCCCUAAAGCAAAUAAUGUGAGCAAAGUUAAGCUUAAGGGACUGUAUGUACUAGUUACAUUAAGUGUCACCCUCGCGAGUAAGAAAUUUUGUUAUCCUUGGCACAGAAGAAUUACCGCAAGGUGAGUAAGGGUCAUCGAUGACGUGAGAAGACGCCAAAGAUGAAGAGGAAAGACAUCUAUAGGUAGAUCAUCGUAGUGUUAAAUAUUAGUACUCCCCUAAAAGGGGGAAUAUGGAAUGACGUGGCACUAAGUCAGAAUUAAGUGGUUUUAGUAAUUAUGGAAUAGUAAAGGAAGAAUGUGAUAAAAUGAAAGAGGGAUGAAAUUGCAUUUAUUCAAAGCCUACAGAUAUGCUAUGAUUCCAGAACAUUAUGCAAGCACGAUGUCAAGGAGAGGAAGUAUGGGUUCCUGCCCGAGGUAUUAUUGAUUGAUAAGGAGCCAGUGCGAGACGAAAGUUAAGAUAAAGGAAAUAAUGUAAGAAAGAUUACGCGGAAUAUUGAUAUGAGAAUGGGCCAACGAGUAGUUAGUAGUUAAUUCAGGAAGAGCGUAGUUAUGGCUAGACAAUAGGAUAUAGACAAAUCAGCAGAUCGUACGAGAUAAACAUAGUAAACCCCAACAUAAUGAAUUCAGUCUCGCAGUUAUGAUAUUGUAAUCUUUGAGAAAUAUUCAGAUAGCAAUGGGGUAGUUAAAGGUACCAUAUGAGUGUUAGAGGAAUAAAAGAAAGUACAAUUGGGAAGAAAGUCAAAAUAUCAGUUCAGAAGCAACCCCACAAGCACAAGGGCAUGGAGGUAAGUAACUACGGAUAAGUAUAGGAAAGGAAAGACAUUAAGAGGUCCGUCGAGUAUACAGUGUAAUAAGCUCAUAGCUUUACAAGAGUUAGAGGGCCCUCCCUAAGCACUACAAUGAAAGACUAUCUAAGGAAAAUAAGGAAGAAGACUUCAGCCUAAACUCAAUCACCUAAAGAGGAAAUGGUCUUAUAACAAUAGUCUCAAAACAAUAUUGUAUGCACUCUAUAAGAAAGUGGAACCUACUGUGGCUAAUGAACGUGGAGUAAAAUCAGAAGUGAUAUUCAAGGUCAUAUGAAUUAUAUGAAAUUCUAAUAUGUGUGGGCACUAAGAUAAUCUAGUAUGGAGGCAACAAGGGGGUAGAAAGACUAGGAAAAGUAAUAGCUUACGUUUAAAGAAAGCUAAGAUGGAACGAACAGAAUUAAUCGAUCAAUGAUCCAGAGUUGGUUGCAUUAUGAACGCACUUAAGCGUUCAGAUUAUUAUCCAUGCAACAUAUAUAUCGACAAUCAUACAGUCGUAGAAGGUUCCGGUAUAAGUUAAAAGGACGAAUUGAGCCCGAGUCAUAAACAAAAGAUUAAAUUGUUAAAGAAUUUUAUCAUGGAUAUUCCAUAGUGCCAUGAAAGGCUAAAAGUAAUAACUAACACCAUGAGCCACUGAUCGAAGAUAGCUUAAGCCUACAAUAAAAGUUGAGCAGAGGAAAGAGGAAACUAAAGAGUUACAUCAACUAAGUAAAUCAGGAGUUUGAUUAUUGAACCCGGAAAAUUAUAGGAAUAACAUAGCAGAAUCACUCUUAAUAUUAGAGGUACAAGAGGGACAGUACAAUAGCCAUAUUUUAUAAUGGCUCUAUGAUAAAACCAGUUAAAAGAGUACCAGCCUCAUAAGAAGUUAGUAUGAAGCUCUCACCGAAUCAUGUAAAGAGGUGCAAGGAUUAUAAUAGAAGUUCAAGUUGUGGAUGUGAAUUAUACCUAUGUCGAAGGGAGCUUAUGAAAGGAAUAGAAGAUAUGAUGCAAGAUUUUAAGGUAAGUAAGAUAAAGUUGAACAACUUAUGAGAUAAUCAAAUGCAGAAGGUUGUGAAUUGUCCAUACUUCGGACAAAAGGCCACAAGUACUGAGCCUCGGCAUCCAGGAAUGAUAGCGGCGUCGAUAGUGGCAUAUCUUCCAGCCUAUGGUUUUUAGGUAUCAAGAGGCCUAGUCAAGAGAGUAAAGAAGAGUUAGAGACAAUGUGAUCCCUCGCUUGAUGUUCCAGAAUAACAUAAGAAAAUCUAUGGGGCAAACAAGUUGAAGGAAGGUUGCAAGUAGUAUAAAUGGAUAUGUAUAGGUCGCAAGCUAAAGUAUGGUAGAGAAACAAGAUUGUAGGAAGAGAGGAGUAAGGAUAAGAAAGGACGAUUGAGGAGGUGACGAGAACGGAUAAGACCUCGGGAUUAAGCCCACGAAAAUGAGAGAGAGCUGAUGGGUUCUCUAAAUUAUAUAAAGCUCAGUAUAGACUGAAUAAGUUCAAAGGAGUCUAUGAUUAGUAGAAUUUAGAAGAAAUGGAAUGCUGACCUAGUAAUAAAAAUAAAGGUGUAAUUGUGACAGAUAAAAGAUGACGUUUGGGCCUUCGAUUGAGUAAUGAUUUGAAAAAAGGGAUUCAUGAAUUGUACAAGAUUAAUUUACCCACGUAAGGUGAAUCAUAUUGGGAUGCUAUGAAAUACGGUUAUGGAAGUAUAGUAUUGCCCCUAGGUGGGUCAGGAAAAUCACUUCAAAUGUUCCUCAAUGCAACGUGAGCCCUAGUGAUAACGUAAGAAGUUGCAAGUUAUCAGUGGUAAAUUGUAGAUUAAUAUUGAGGUGAAUCAACAAUGGAUAGACAAAAGUCACAAAGUAUAAGAUGAGAUUAGGUUGUCAUUCUUAAGAUGAAUAGUAUUGAGGGAGCAUUAAAGGACUUGAAUUUAUACAUAUGGGAUAAGCAACGAAAGUAACUGGGAGUUUGGUAGCAGACCUUAGUAAGGAUAAAUCAAGGUAAAAGUUAUGGUAUAGUAUGACCUACCUAUGUGCAGUAAAGUCAUAUGGGUUGACAAACGAAAUAAGGUAUAGCAAUAUUCGUGAGUUCAACAAAGUACCCAACGAAGAACUUCAGUAUACCUACAGAUGCCCGGGGGGACAUUUAAUCAAGCUCUGUAUAUGUUCCCAAAGCGAGGCCUAUAGAUGGCACACAUACAAGGAAAAAGUCGUACAGGCUGCAUGAUAGAAGGUAACAGGAGUUACGAGAUUAGAAGAAUUCUGACCACAGUUCGUGGUGUGAUAAAGAGAUCUAUAGGUGAGAAUACCCUGGACUUUGGAUUUAAUCCAAGAACAGUUGUCUGAAUGAAAAGGAGAAUAUUAGAGUAUUCGCAAGAGCUAUAGGUUAGGGGAAUGAUAAGUGCAUCCGUCAACAUUCGAGGACGAAUGUUCCAAAGGGGAGAAUAAUGUUACACCCUAUGUUUUCGUACGUAAAAGUACGGUAUAAGUAAAUUGAUGAAAGCUCGGAAAUAAAAUAUUACAUCUCGCAUUUUCGUACGUUAAAAUUUCGUCAUAAGUUAAUCAACGUAAGUUCGGGAAUUGGAUUAUUUUGAGAUUAUAAGCAUUAUGCUAUUUUAAACAAGUGAUGAGUAAAUUCGUGAAGUUUAGAGGGUAAGCAAGUCGAAGAAAAUAAAUUUCAUCGAGGUUCGACAUUUUGGGAUAAAAUACAGACCGAGCUAAAAUACCCGGUAUUUAUAGACUAGUACCAUACAAGGUACCACAUGACCAUGAUAGUAAGGUGUAUAAGGUGUAUUAAAAGUGAGUAGUAAUAAGUAAUUUGCGAUAAUUCUUAAUUAUAAGAUAAUCCGGUAAUUAUUGAUUUUAAGGUGACAUUAAGAGAGCCUUUUUGUAGCUUAGUCACUAGAAAAGUGGGCCCACAUCUUUGUAUAAGAAAUAAUAAGCUAAAGAGUCGUAAACUUAAGUCUUAUGACUCUUAAAGAACGUGAGUCAUAUAACUCACGUUAUCAUCCAGAUCUGAAAUCACGCUAUCAUUUUUAAGUUAAGAGUCUUAUGACUCUUAAAGAACUUCAUCACAUUUUUUGGUUCAAUUAAUAUGCAUAUAUCGCAUAAGCAACGCAAAUACUUUCAACAAUUCAAAUCAAAGUGAGAUUUUGCAAUUAUAACAGAAUAUGGUGCAAUUUUUCUCAAGAAUAUCAUACGAAUUUUCAUCUACUCCGAUCCGCCGUUACGUGUUAUCGCAAUUAACGUGUGUUAGAGGGAUUGUAAAGAGAAUUGGCUCAGGUAUAUUAAGGCCAUCCCUUCUUUCUUUUGGCAUAUUCCAUAUGAUACAAUGAAAAAUGCACAAUUCCCAUAAAUGACUCCAUUCAUAGAAAUAUUAGAGAUGUUUAUGUUCUUAAUUCCCCAUGUGUCAUAUUAUUCUAUCAUCUGUUCAUGGAUCUCAAAAAAAUACGUAAGUUGAAAAAGUUUACUUUAUGAUAUUAUUCAAAAGUAUAAUGGUCUUAUGACAUUCCAAGAGAUUUUACUGACAUACUUUUCAUACAUUGCAUUCAUAUACAUUGACCCAUGCAUGGGUGUAUGUGUUAAUAACAUCAUCAAGCCNNNNNNNNNNNNNNNNNNNNNNNNNUAUAUAUAUAUAUAUAUAUAUGUAUAUGGGAUAUGGGAAAAAGCUACGGCGUUAUAUAUGCACCACUACCUGAUCAGUUGGUAUAUGUUGAUGAUUUGCCCACAAUGGCCGAGAUGAUAUGAUGGGAUGUCCUCAGAGGCUUGAUGAUGUUAUUAACACAUACAGCCAUGCAUGGUAUGACAUUUAUACCCAUAUGCAUGACAUUAUAUAAAAAAAAUGAAAUGAUUUACAGAGUUAUGAAAACGUACAUGUGCAGUCUUUUACUCCAUGUUUCUCUCAUGUCUAUUAUUUACUAAUUUUCAUUCUUUACAUACUCGGUGCAUUAUUUGUACUGAUGUCCCUUUUGCCUGGGGGCGCUGCGUUUCAUGCCUGCAGGUCCCGAUAGACAGGUCGAGAGCCCUCCAAGUAGGCUAUCAGCUCAGUGGAAGAUGUUGGUGCGCUCCAUUACUUCGGAGUUGCUUGUUUGGUUAGUAUGAUUUAGACGUGUAUUAUUAGAGACUUGUAGACAAAUGUCAUAUACAUAAAAGAUUGUAUGGACUUGUCGGCCUAUGUUCAGUGUACGAGUGGU